rnacentral:snRNA from 1 species
AGCUUUGUGCAGUGGCAGUAUCGUAGCCAAUGAGGUUUAUCUGAGGCGUGAUUAUUGCUAAUUGAAAACUAUAAGGUAAAUAU